rnacentral:rRNA from 1 species
GUGCCAGCAGCCGCGGUAAUACGUAGGGAGCUAGCGUUGUCCGGAAUCAUUGGGCGUAAAGCGCGCGUAGGCGGCCCGGUAAGUCCGCUGUGAAAGUCAAAGGCUCAACCUUUGAAUGUCAGCGGAUACUGCCGGGCUAGAGUCCGGAAGAGGCGAGUGGAACUCCUGGUGUAGCGGUGGAAUGCGCAGAUAUCAGGAAGAACACCAACGGCGAAGGCAGCUCGCUGGGACGGAACUGACGCUAAGGCGCGAAAGCGUGGGGAGCGAACAGGAUUAGAAACCCUCGUAGUCC